rnacentral:rRNA from 1 species
UACGGGAGGCAGCAGGGGGAAUAUUGCACAAUGGGCGCAAGCCUGAUGCAGCCAUGCCGCGUGUAUGAAGAAGGCCUUCGGGUUGUAAAGUACUUUCAGUCGUGAGGAAGGUGUUAAGGUUAAUAACCUUAGCAAUUGACGUUAGCGACAGAAGAAGCACCGGCUAACUCCGUGCCAGCAGCCGCGGUAAUACGGAGGGUGCGAGCGUUAAUCGGAAUUACUGGGCGUAAAGGGCACGCAGGCGGUUAAUUAAGUUGGAUGUGAAAUCCCCGGGCUUAACCUGGGAAUGGCAUUCAAGACUGGUUAGCUAGAGUCUUGUAGAGGGGGUAGAAUUCCAUGUGUAGCGGUGAAAUGCGUAGAGAUGUGGAGGAAUACCGGUGGCGAAGGCGGCCCCUGGACAAAGACUGACGCUCAUGUGCGAAAGCGUGGGGAGCAAAACAGGGAUUAGAUACC